rnacentral:piRNA from 1 species
UUGGAUGAUGAUGAGGCCUGUGCA